CCGGGGUGAGUAUUACAUCAGGUACUGGUGUGAUUUAAACCCCCGGACACCGUGGUGGAACUGUUGUGUCCGGACAACUAUCAGUACUUGUGUUAUACUCUCUCCGU
rnacentral:pre_miRNA from 2 species